ACAUUUUAGAAUACAGUAACCUAUAAUGAUGAGUGUGUGAACUUCCCUCUGGAAGAAUGGGCUUUACUGGAUCCUUCAUAGAAGGGUCUAUACAGAGACCUGAUGCAGGAAACCUACAGGAAUCUCACUGCUAUAAAAUUUUUAAAAAGAAUACAUAGCAGUGAGAAAUAUUAUGAAAAUAACCAUUGUGGUAAAUCUUUUGCACAUCAUCAUAGUCUCCAAAUACACAAAAGAACUCAUAGUUUAGACCAACCCUAUGGAUGUAAUCAGUGUGGUAAACACUUUGUAAGUCAGAGUCUUAGAGCAUAAAGGAACUCAUACCGGAGAGAAACCCUAUGUAUGUAAUCAAUCUGGUAAAUCUUUUGUAAAUCAGACUUAUUUAUAAUAUAAAAGAAUACAUACCAAAGAAAAACCUUAUGAGUCAUGUCAUUGUCGUCUUCAGUGACAUGAAUGGAUUCAUAACAGAAAGAAACACUGAAUGUAUUUUAAUAUGAAGCUUGUGCACACUUAUGUAGUCUUUAUCAUCAUGAAAAUAUUUAUAUUGGAGAGAAAUUCUAUGAGUAUAAGUAAUGUCAUAAGGCCUUUAUACAUAUUGGAGAAAAACUCAGCAAAUGUAAUCAAUUUCAUAAAACCUUUUCACCACAUAGUUACCUAUUAAUACAUAAAAGGGCACAUUCUCUAGGGAAACCCUAUGAAUAUAACCAAUGUGGUGAAGUCUUUUCACAG
rnacentral:lncRNA from 1 species